rnacentral:piRNA from 1 species
CAAAGGAAGUAGCAGGCCCAGCUGGG